CAGUCGCCACGGUAAUACGAAGGGGGCUAGCGUUGUUCGGAAUUACUGGGCGUAAAGGGCGCGUAGGCGGCCAUUCAAGUUAGAUGUGAAAGCCCUGGGCUCAACCUAGGAAUUGCAUUUGAUACUGUUUGGCUUGAGUUCGGGAGAGGUGAGUGGAAUUCCCAGUGUAGAGGUGAAAUUCGUAGAUAUUGGGAAGAACACCAGUGGCGAAGGCGGCUCACUGGACCGACACUGACGCUGAGGCGCGAAAGCGUGGGGAGCAAACAGGAUUAGAUACCCCCGUAGUCCCUGUCUCUUAUAU
rnacentral:rRNA from 1 species